UCGGAAUCACAUGGGCAUAUGACCUAAGG
rnacentral:piRNA from 1 species